GUCAUGACUUUGUUUUCGAAAAUAGGAUUUCAAACCAGAACGUAUUAUUAAACGUAUUAUUAUUUUUUCUAAAGGAGCGGCUGUAGUAUCAAGCCAAACUUAACCCAUGUCCUAGAUGGUGGAGAUCAAAAAGAAAAGUUCUCCCCCCUUAUUUUUUUAAGGCUAAGUUGCCUCAGGAGGCCCCUUUCCAGAUAGAAAAGCAGCUUUUCCAGGAUAAGGGAGACUCAGGUCCUGGGACCGUGGAAUGAAAUGCUCACAGAGCGUAGCUUUUCUCUAACAUUGUUCCCCAGCAAUGCAGACUCAGAGUGUAUAGGGCCACGGACCCUAACUUCGAGACCCUUGUCAGAAGUCGGUCCUCUGGAAUUACUGUAAAAGCACCUGGCCCCCCAUGUUUCCUUUUUAAAAAAAUUUUCAUUAAUUAUGGCACCAAAUGGCCAUGGUUAACCACAUGCUGGUCUUCAAGGAGUAAACAUAUUUAGCCCUUCAUUUUAGUAUUUCCGUAUUCUAAGUAGAAUGCUACCUCCGUUCACAUUCUAUUACGAUAAAGUUAUGUUUCGUAUACAUUUACCAUUCCUCCAUCAUUACAGUAUUUGUACUAUCUGACACCGGAAUAGUCACUUGAGCCAAGGAGCCUGAGAAUUUAGUCUUUUAAAAAAAAAAAAAAAUCUUGUUUUCUCCAUACAUGGUAAGUCUUUCCAGUGCCUCCAAUAGUGUAAAUAUUCAAGGCACUGGUUUUCGAUUUUUGUUUUUUUGUUGUUGUUUUUUAGCACCUUAAGUAUACUGACUUAAUUUCACAAGCACAGUGAGGUAGGUACAUGACGGAUACAUUUCAUCGUCGGGAAAUGUGAAGCACGGAGGGUAAUGGACGAGCGCGGUGAGAUUCUAAAUGGCAGAGUCAGGACUCGAAGAAGGCCAGCUGGGCUCCUGCAGCCACUCUCCCAAGCUCAAGCAACACAGCCCUGAUGUAACUUUCUACACCAGCAAAUCUACCAGUGCAAAACAGAGAGACAUUCAGCCACCCUGGACAAGCCUAGUGCUUUUGUGUUUGUCUAUGACAUACAUUUCCGUAAGUGGAGAGCGGAAACAAAGGACAUGUAUACUAAAUGGCUCGAGGGAUACCACCAACCUGCCUUCCGCGAUGAACAGUAACGUUCACCUGGAGUCUGCAAACCCGCAGACUCACUGAGAGGACCUGCAAGGAAGAAGGGGAGAGAGAGACUGAGAAACGGAGACACAAAUCUCUCAUGUGCCAAAAAUGAAGUACAGGAGUCGAGGCCCGAACAGAGGAUAUCAGACAUGGCCCUUGGGCCUGAGGAAGGUAAGGAGUCGGAACCGAAAUUCACUCUAGAACCAAGGAAGACCUGCUCCCGCUCUGUGAGGGAACCAUAAAGCAGGGUUCACUUACUAAAGCUACCAGCACAUUUCUCACUGAUAGAUAUCUGAGUGGGGAAAAUUUUCCCACAAUAAAUGGCAAUUUAAAAAAUCUGUUCUAGGCA
rnacentral:lncRNA from 1 species